GUCCUGUCAGCCUGAUUGUAGCCAUAGCAGCUUCGAAGUCCCUCGUUUUAUUAUCUCAGUAUAUUAAUAUAAUCAUAUUUUUAUAGCGUUUUUUUAUUGUUAUAAUUCUUGUUGAAAAUUAUGUUUAUCCCUUCAGUUAGGGAUUUUUGUAAUUCGAUUAUUUUGUUCUGUGUCUUUUUUGGUCUCUUCGCUAGCUAGCUAUUAACAUUCUAACUAGUAAGGUGACUCGCAAUUAGCCAACGCCUCCCUCCCCUACCAAUCAUGGCACUGCUUUACUCAGGACGCUCGUAAAAGCUACCAAAGAUCACAUUGACGGAUGUACAUCGUCUGGCCAAGAUAAGUAGCAAAGCACCGAACUCCAAGUUAAAAACAAGGAUUCAAACUUUGUGUCCAGUUACCUUUUCAACUACGAAGCCCUCUGAGCCAGUAACAAUGACACAUCACCACACAGUUGCAUUACUAUUCCAGUCUGCACACUAAGAUGGGAACACCAGUCAUCCCAUCUGUGCACAGCUGCACAGAGGCCGAGCAGCAGUGGCAUAAGCCAAGGACUAUGGGUCUGCAACCUGGGCCCAUAGGCAAAAUGACCAUCACCAAGGCCACCAAAAAGCGCAUGGCAGAAGGAGGGAUUAGGUGGUUUCAAGUACAUUGUUUAGAUUGGCUAACCACAGCGGCUGCUUUGCGGAAGUACAGCGCCCUUUUUGGAACGCUCCCUGACCUCUCAGUUCUCCAGAUAGAAGAGGCAUACAAGAACUUUGACCCUCUAUCCAAACCAUUGAUCUGCAGCAUGGGGAUGAAGGCUGAAAAGCUUUUAGGUGACUCCCACUUUGGAAGGGUAUAGUUGGAGAGCCUCCUGUCUUACCAGCAGCCUCCAAUCACAAUGUGACCAUAGUUCACUAUAAGGAGACACCACCAUUCCCUUUACUGCCCCUGGAUGGCUACAGACUGGAGAGCAACUUUCAAGGCUGCACUUGUGCUCAAUGAAGAAGACCAGCUUCACAUAGUCUCUUCAGACACGCAAUGUCAACCAAUGAACCGCGAGGAAGGGCUGAGCCAACUGUCACAGUCACACACUUAGCAGCCGAGGAGAGAGAGGAAGGACAGCUGUGAAAACAACAGCUGGAAAAUGAGUUGGAAGCAC
rnacentral:lncRNA from 1 species